GCGAGAGUGGCGGAAUUGGCAGACGCGCUGGCUUUAGGUGCCAGUGCCCGUAAGGGCGUGGGGGUUCGAGUCCCCCCUCUCGCACCA
rnacentral:tRNA from 1 species